rnacentral:sRNA from 1 species
CUGUUGUUGGGUAAAGAAAGAGUAGGUACAACGUGAAUGUUGCUGUAAACCUGUUGUUGGGUAAAGAGUAGGUACAACGUGAAUGUUGCUGUAAACCUGUUGUUGGGUAAAGAGUAGGUACAACGUGAAUGUUGCUGUAAACCUGUUGUUGGGUAAAGAGUAGGUACAACGUGAAUGUUGCUGUAAACCUGUUGUUGGGUAAAGAGUAGGUACAAAGUUAAUGUUGCUGUAGGCCUAGAAAUGUAGCAUACAUUGGUACCAAUAGGACGAAAUGAAGGCCUUGUAAAAUUACAGAGGAAUGUCUUAGAAACAAAAACUAAAUACAUUAUCCACUAGUAUUCUAAUUAGAGACCUCUUCGAAAGGAAGUGCUAACAUAUCGGCUAUUUGGCAUAUCCAUAUUUCACUUCAUAGAGAUGUUGAUUAGAGCUUAGU